CUCAAAAGGACAACUACCAAUUUUAAGGGCAGAUGAAGGAGCAAAUGCUUCAUUCUGAAGAUGACAACCAGGUGGCAUAGAGUGUGCUGAAGCAACCACCAGCAGUGCCUCAAAGAGCAGCAUAGCGUCGGUGCGAGAAGGAUGUCCUCCUAGGGCUGAGGUGUCACCUCUGAAUUACGUUCACAAAGGACAAACCAAUUCUGAACAUACUUCUAUAAAUCCUCCUGGGACACAGUAUGUGAGCCCUUCCAGGAUGUGACCUUUAGAUAUUGACAGAGGAGGUGUAUAUGCAUAUAUUCUCAUAUGAAGAGUUUUGUGCCUGCAGUAUCUCCAGCAUGUAUGGACGGUUAGUCUGAAAGUACAACGGGGACAAAGAAACAAACUUUGCCAAAGAAGCAUCAACAGGACUAUCAAAAAGCUACUUAAAAUGUUAAAGGAUAGUAUUUGGAAAGAAGUGUUGGUAUGCCGAUGGUCAUGUGGGGUGAUUGCUUGCUUUCUUCCCCUCAGUGAUGCUGAACAAGGAUGUACCUUGCUUAAUGUCAGCUGAAGGCAGCAGAAAUAGUCAAAGCAGUUUAUGGAGUUCUGAUACCUGUGUUGGAGUGUGCUGGAUUUCUAGAGUUGCUGGGGAGAAAAUAUCUGUUUUCUAGAAGUGUAAAACAAUGUGAAGUUAAAUUGCUGAUGUUGGUAAAUAUUUGAGGAGGGCACUAGGCCUAUUUUUACAGGCAGUGAGUCCAGGAACCAAUGAUCAGUUGCCUCCUGAAAGACAUGAUAGUCCUGUUCCACUCAAGUCUGCACUUAGUCACAUUUCUUUCACAAUCUGAAUAUUUGUGUCUGGCACUCACAACACCAUUUUUCUAAUAUUGAUACAGAAGCUGAUGAAUCUACAAUUUAUAAGUGGCCAAAUGCAUGUUCUCCAUGGCAGGGUAGGGAUUGGAGCAAAUGUAGCAGUUAAGUCAAAUAAUAAAAGCAGAAAGAAAAGAAGCCAACUUUCCUUCUCUUACUGUCACCUUCAGAAGGCAAUUGUCAGAGAGACUGUUUCUGUUCAGCGUAUAUCAAGGAACGGAUCUGGUUUAGAUUUUUGAGAAUAACUUCAGCAGAUUAAGCCCAUUACACAGAUAUUAUUCAUAUUUAAAAAUUACAACUUCAACCGCAGACAGAGUAUGAGAUUAAAUGUUAUGGCCAUUUGGACUGAAGGGAAACUAUUUCUGCAGACUGUGAAGACCUAGGGUUUGGACAAAAGUGACUCUGAGAUCACUUUGGAGGAAGAUGCUUGAACGUGCUUCUGAAGGCAGCUGUUUCCUUUCACUUCUGCCCUGUACCAAAAGAAAUGAAAGAAGGAAAAGAAUAGAAAGAAAAACAUAGGAAGAAGGAGAAAGACAGACGUGAAAGACAGCAUUCAUGUACAACUGAAGUGGUAAGUGGACAAAAUACUGGGAGAGUGAGAAGAGAGGAAGGUCACUGUCCCAAAGGACAAUGCCAGAUGACUACAAGCAUAGAUUAAGAAUUUUGCAGAUAUGAAUUUUAUGCUCAUCGUUUGGUUUUUUAGCAUAAUAUGCACUGCUUUAUUUUCAUGACUGUUGGUAAGGGACCAGAUUGCUCUAAAGGCAAAUAUUUUAUUGUAUACAUAUAGUGGGAUAUUCAGAGACGUUGUUGACAUUAAGCCUACUCAGAUCAGUUAUGACAACUGAGAUGACAAGAACAAAAAAAUCUACCUGAUGGUCUCUUACAACUGAUAUGCAAGAAUAUCCUCUUGUUUUCCUUGCAUAAUUAUAACGCGUGUGCCGAGAUCUCCUGAUGUUGCACAACCCUUUAUUGCUAAAAUUUAGCCAGAUUUCUGUGCUGAAUCAAAAAUGUUCGGUGUUGAAGUGAGAAUGCUUUGGCUUUGAAUACAGAGAGAAGGAGACAUUUCCCAUCACUGUGACUAGUCUUUUUGUAAGUAAAUUAAAUGGUGGCUGCACAAUCAUUUCUGACAGAAAUUUAAAACCAACCAACAAAAUAACACACAACCAAAAAACUGUUUAAAAUUAUCGUUAGCAGGGAAUAACUGUUAGCAUAAGUGUACAUUAGAAACUUUUUCAUUUGAACACCAGAGAAUACUUUUUUCUCCUACAAAAUAGCUAAAGAAGUUCAAAAAAUACUAAAGUAAACCAUCGUUCAUGUUCAUAUGAAUUCUAUAUAACUGAACAAUCAGGGCUUCAGAUGCUGUUUACUUCAGAACCGUUUGAGUUUUUCAUCACUUUAUUGUGUUUAUCUUCUGUUAUGUAUUCAUUCUUGGAUUUGAAAGGAGUUGAAAAUAAUACAAGGAAGCCUAGGGUAGGACAGGAGUAAACAAAUGUAACUGUCUAUGAGAAAUGACGCUCACAUAUUUCUCAUUGAUCCCUGAAAAAUUAGAUGAGCCUCAGACUUACUUUUGGAUUUAUCUGCCCUGGUUGUGUUAAUGUCUUAGGGCAUUCCCAAAAUACCCCGAAGGAAUAAAGUCCUUAUUUUAUCUCCUUUUUCUUGUAAGAGCAAAGAUGAACAAAGUGAAAUAUCGAUUCAAUUGCUUAAUAAACUGAUAAACCUGUAGGAGAAAAAUGUUUUCUUCUGCAUCAUUUGUCAUAAAUGAAAUUAUUAAAAUUAAAAAAAAAAACAAAAAACAAAAAAACAAAACAAAAAAAAAAACAAGAAAACCCUGGUGGCCUUUGCCAGAAAUUGGAUAGACACAGUAAUCUUAAAACAAUUGUUCCUUCAGUCUUCCUAAUCUCUGAAGACAACUAAAUUAACACAGAAAU